UGGCCACGCAAGUUCGUCGGGAAAUCCAGCGGCUCAACCGCUGGGCGUCCGGCGAAAACUGCGUGGCUUGGGACCGGAAGGCUCGAGGGGUACGUCCGGGGUAGGAGUGAAAUCCCGUAAUCCUGGACGGACCACCGAUGGCGAAAGCACCUCGAGAGAACGGAUCCGACAGUGAGGGACGAAAGCUGGGGUCUCGAACCGGAUUAGAUACCCGGGUAGUCCCAGCCGUAAACGAUGCCAGUUAGGUGUGACAGAGGCUACGAGCCUCUGUUGUGCCGUAGGGAAGCCGAGAAACUGGCCGCCUGGGAA
rnacentral:rRNA from 1 species